rnacentral:rRNA from 1 species
AUUGAACGCUGGCGGCAUGCCUUACACAUGCAAGUCGAACGGUAACGGGCCUUCGGGUGCCGACGAGAGGCGAACGGGUGAGUAAUGCAUCGGAACGUACCUUUCAGUGGGGGAUAACGUAGCGAAAGUUACGCUAAUACCGCAUAUUCCGUGAGCAGGAAAGCAGGGGAUCGCAAGAACUUGCGCUGAUUGAGCGGCCGAUGUCAGAUUAGCUAGUUGGUGAGGUAAAGGCUCACCAAGGCGACGAUCUGUAGCGGGUCUGAGAGGAUGAUCCGCCACACUGGGACUGAGACACGGCCCAGACUCCUACGGGAGGCAGCAGUGGGGAAUUUUGGACAAUGGGGGCAACCCUGAUCCAGCCAUGCCGCGUGAGUGAAGAAGGCCUUCGGGUUGUAAAGCUCCUUCGGCCGGGAAGAAAUCGCACAGGCUAAUACCUUGUGUGGAUGACGGUACCGGAAUAAGAAGCACCGACUAACUACGUGCCAGCCGCCGCAGUAAUAC